GGAUGCGAUCAGCCCAGCACUAAAGCACCGGAUCCCAUCAGAACUCCGAAGUUAAGCGUGCUUGGGCGAGAGUAGUACUAGGAUGGGUGACCUCCUCGGAAGUCCUCGUGUUGCAUUCC
rnacentral:rRNA from 1 species